rnacentral:rRNA from 1 species
UGGGGAAUAUUGCACAAUGGGCGAAAGCCUGAUGCAGCGACGCCGCGUGAGGGAUGACGGCCUUCGGGUUGUAAACCUCUUUCAGUAGGGACGAAGCGCAAGUGACGGUACCUGCAGAAGAAGCACCGGCUAACUACGUGCCAGCAGCCGCGGUAAUACGUAGGGUGCGAGCGUUGUCCGGAAUUACUGGGCGUAAAGAGCUCGUAGGCGGUUUGUCACGUCGUCUGUGAAAUCCUAGGGCUUAACCCUGGACGUGCAGGCGAUACGGGCUGACUUGAGUACUACAGGGGAGACUGGAAUUUCUGGUGUAGCGGUGGAAUGCACAGAUAUCAGGAAGAACACCGAUGGCGAAGGCAGGUCUCUGGGUAGUAACUGACGCUGAGGAGCGAAAGCAUGGGUAGCGAACAGGA